CCUACGGGAGGCAGCAGUAGGGAAUCUUCCACAAUGGGCGAGAGCCUGAUGGAGCAACGUCGCGUGAAUGAAGAAUGUCUUAGGAUCGUAAAACCCUGUUGUUAGAGAAGAAAGUGCAUGAGAGUAACUGUUCACGUUUCUACUGUAUCUAUCCAGAACGCCACGGCUAACUACGUGCCAGCCGCCGCGGUAAUACGUAGGUGGCAAGCGUUAUCCGGAUUUAUUGGGAGUAAAGGGAACGCAGUGGGUCUUUUAAGUCUGAUGUGAAAGCCUUCGGCUUAACCGGAGUAGUGCAUUGGAUACUGGGAGACUUGAGUACAGAUGAGGAGAGUGGAAUUCGAUGUGUAGCGGUGAAAUGCUUAGAUAUAUGGAAGAACACCAGUGGCGAAAGCGGCUCUCUGGUCUGUAACUGACGCUGAGGCUCGAAAGCGUGGGUAGCAAACAGGAUUAGAUACCCUAGUAGUC
rnacentral:rRNA from 1 species